rnacentral:miRNA from 3 species
GCAUUGAGGGAGUCAUGCAGG